rnacentral:tRNA from 1 species
GGGGUUUUAGCUCAGUGGUAAAGCGCUUGCCUAGCAAGCACAAGGCCCUGGGUUCGGUCCCCAGCUCCA